AGGCUGACCGGCCACAUUGGGACUGAGACACGGCCCAGACUCCUACGGGAGGCAGCAGCUAAGAAUCUUCCGCAAUAGUCGAUAGACUGACGGAGCGACGCCGCGUGAGUGAUGAAGGCCUUUUAGGUUGUAAACCUCUUUUAUAUUGGAAGAAUAUAUAGUAUUAGACUAUAUUGACCGUACUUUAUGAAUAAGGUUCGGCUAACUACGUGCCAGCAGCCGCGGUAAUACGUAGGGACCGAGCGUUGUUCGGAAUUAUUGGGCGUAAAGGGUAUGUAGGCGGUCUAUUAAGUUAGAUGUGAAAAAUCUGGGCUCAACCGAGAUCUUGCGUCUAAUACUGAUAGGCUAGAGUCUCUGAGAGGAAGGCGGAAUUCCUGGUGUAGGGGUGAAAUCUAUAGAUAUCAGGAAGAACACCGGUUGCGAAGGCGGCCUUCUGGCAGAGGACUGACGCUGAGGUACGAAAGUUAGGGUAGCAAACAGGAUUAGAGACCCUGGUAGUCCUAACCGUAAACGUUGUAUACUAGGUGGUUGAAGUAUUGAUCCUUUGACUGCCGCAGCAAACGCAUUAAGUAUACCGCCUGGGGAGUAUGCCGGCAACGGUGAAACUCAAAGGAAUUGACGGGGCCCCGCACAAGCAGUGGAGCAUGUUGCUUAAUUCGAUGAUACGCGAGUAACCUUACCAGGUCUUGACAUAUACCUGUCUGGUGUAGAAAUACAUCAUUGCUUCGGCACGGGUAUACAGGUGCUGCAUGGUUGUCGUCAGCUCGUGCCGUGAGGUGUUGGGUUAAGUCCCGCAACGAGCGCAACCCUUAUUCUUUGUUGCUAACAGGUUAAGCUGAGCACUCUAAGGAGACUGCCGGUGACAAACCGGAGGAAGGUGGGGACGACGUCAAAUCAUCACGGCCCUUAUGACCUGGGCUGCAAACGUGCUACAAUGGGUGGUACAAAGAGUUGCGAGACCGCGAGGUGGAGCUAAUCUCAAAAAACUAUCCUCAGUUCGGAUUGGAGUCUGAAACCCGACUCUAUGAAGUUGGAAUUGCUAGUAAUCGCACAUCAUCAUGGUGCGGUGAAUACGUUC
rnacentral:rRNA from 1 species